rnacentral:rRNA from 11 species
AUUAGCAGCUCAUCCCUUAAGCUAAACAGUCGGGCCUAGUUGGCACUUGGAUGGGAGACUGCCUGGGAAUACAAGAUGCUGUCACUU